UACGAAGGGGGCUAGCGUUGCUCGGAAUCACUGGGCGUAAGGGGUGCGUAGGCGGGUCUUUAAGUCAGGGGUGAAAUCCUGGAGCUCAACUCCAGAACUGCCUUUGAUACUGAGGAUCUUGAGUACGGGAGAGGUGAGUGGAACUGCGAGUGUAGAGGUGAAAUUCGUAGAUAUUCGCAAGAACACCAGUGGCGAAGGCGGCUCACUGGCCCGUUACUGACGCUGAGGCACGAAAGCGUGGGGAGCAAACAGG
rnacentral:rRNA from 1 species